rnacentral:rRNA from 1 species
GCACAACGCGAAGAACCUUACCCACCUUUGACAUGUACGGAAUCCUUUAGAGAUAGAGGAGUGCUCGAAAGAGAGCCGUAACACAGGUGCUGCAUGGCUGUCGUCAGCUCGUGUCGUGAGAUGUUGGGUUAAGUCCUGCAACGAGCGCAACCCUUGCCAUUAGUUGCUACAUUUAGUUGAGCACUCUAAUGGGACUGCCGGUGACAAACCGGAGGAAGGUGGGGAUGACGUCAAGUCCUCAUGGCCCUUAUAGGUGGGGCUACACACGUCAUACAAUGGCUGGUACAAAGGGCUGCCAAGUCGCGAGACGGAGCAAAUCCCAUCAAAGCCGGUCUCAGUUCGGAUAGCAGGCUGAAACUCGCCUGCUUGAAGCUGGAAUCGCUAGUAACGGUAGGUCAGCACACUACCGUGAAUACGUUCCCGGGUCUUGUACACACCG